rnacentral:lncRNA from 1 species
GGAGGUGGGGGGUCCGAGAGUAAAAAUAAUGGGCAGAUGAUCGUCGCAUCCUCUGGGCUCCUCGUGGAACGUCAGUGCUGGCCAGUGGCUUCUGUCCGGAUGCUCAGUAGCAAACUUUAGGCAAGCUCCCCUGAGGGAGUGGUGGCGGUGCAGGCUCUCUCCUUCCCUUGUUCGUUCGUCAGACCUGCUGCUGCAGACUCCAGAGACGCUUUGCUCUCUA